rnacentral:misc_RNA from 1 species
AUUUUGGUGAAUCUUCAGCCAUCUCUGUGUUUCUAUAUCUCAACAGAGCAGAAGAAAACAGAGGAAAUAGGAGAUAAGGUGAUGAUAGGUGACCUAAAUUCACUAUCAAACAACCAGGUGAGUACAAAAACAACAGCAGCCGAUCUGUUUCUGAUAUGGGUAUUGAAUUGCUAACAAUGUGGAUGAAAUUGAGGUACAAAUCCUAGACAAGAAUAGUAAAGCCCAAUUCAGGUCUCUUCAUUUCUUCUCUUUUCUCUCUGUUUUACACACAAAAGGAAAGACCAGAAAAAGAAAUCUACUUUCCAACUCUUUCAGAGCCUCCUCUCCCACAAUCUGUUCCGUUUCUUUGUAGCAAAAAGAAUGCAGAGACAGAACAGAAUUGAGGCAGAGGGAGAGGGAGAGGCAGAUGAGAGAGACAGAGAGAGAGGGAGAAAUGGGUAUAACGUAAUGUGAAUGUGAAAGAGAAUGGCAAUAGAA